CUGAUUUUGUCUUUUUUUUUUUUUGUUAUUUUUUUCUCUUUUUUUUUGGUCUUUGGGGCUCUGGUUUUUUUUUUUAGAGAGAGAGAGGAGCAGGAGAAGUGAAAGGAGAAAAAAGAAGAAAGAAGGAGAAGGAAAAAGAGGCUUUUUUGUUCAAUAUUUCUGUGCAAUUGAUUCACCAAAUACUUAUCGAAUAAACAUGAGGA
rnacentral:ribozyme from 13 species